rfam:Ipomoea nil DNA, scaffold: scaffold3322, cultivar: Tokyo-kokei standard.
GUUUUCUUAGCUUAGUGGUAGAGUGCGUGGCUUUUAACCAUGAGGUCGUGGGUUUGAUCCCCACAGACGGUG